GUACUCAUUUUCAAUAUUUAUAGCUGUGAUCCUAAGGUUGCUAGGAAACGAUGGCGAGGCGAUACCUCCAUCUGUGAUUUUAAUCAUUGGCUGAUUCUAUCAUAAUCUAAAAGAUUAUUUAUGAGGACCUCUUGCAAUGGUGCUGUCUGCUUUUAAUCAGCAUAAUUGGAUUCACAUCUGACCCUGGACCUGUCAGAUUCUCAAGGAAGACAGCAUGCCGUUGUACAGUACAGUGGAGCUCAUGGUGGGUCUCAUGAAACUCCCGAUAACUUACGACAGGGUUACUCCCAGUUUCACUUGCAUUGUGUAUGUGUUGUACAUGAUUUUUGACUGAUGUUAAACUUGCUGAUUGCUCUGAUGUAGGAUACAUGCUUGUGAAUAGCACAAGAGAGUGAGGAGCUGUGGAAAGUGCAGGUGCAAUACCUUUUAUUACGCUUCAUAGUCUUACGACCCGGCACUCAACUGCUUAUUCUAUAUGUCGUCUGAUAACAACAAACCUGUUUCAAGAGCACCCGUAUAAAACAAUCGCUUGUCUAUAGUGACAACAAAAAAAUAGAAGGUAAUUAAACAAUCAACACUUAAAUAUGGCCCAGUCCCUAAAGAAAAUGUUUACAUUGUAAGCAGGUUUGGCUGUUAAUUACGUUACCCAAAGAAAAGCAGUCAUGAGGAUAUUUUACCUGGAGUGCAGUUAGAGAGAAAAGCAGGUUUGUGCAUCUUUUAACAGACUGGCCAAUAUAUCAGGAAUCUAAAUAUAAGCAAGACACAAGUCACUAUCUGCAUUAGAAACAAGGGUCAUAUUAACACACUCAAACAUAGGUGUACAUUCUUUGUAAAAUGUGUCUGUCUCUUGUGUGUAUAACGCACAGCUGUGUAGAACUCAUGGUUUUUGUAACAAAGAAACAAAGAUAUGUACAUGACUCCUGUUGCCCGUUCUGGAUUUUUAACUGACCAUCAAAGCAAAGCAAUUUUCUACUUUAAAACAACAUACUUGAGUAAAAAUAUUUCAAGUACAUCAAUAUUUUAUCUUAAAAUACCAUUGGUGAAUGUAUGUCUGAACAAAUAAAGUCCGAAUUUACAUUACAUACAUACCACUAUAUGAGUAUGAAAGAAUGCCAUACAUACAUAAAAAAAAUAGCAUCUGCUGAUGCACCCAUUUUGUUAACAUUUUAUACCUUCAUUUAUUAAUUUAAGGAUGUACAGAAGUUUAUUUUGUAAAUUUAAACAAAAUAAAAUAGUAAAAUCAUUAAAAAAAACAAACAAAAAA